GCCACGAAGAACUGAACAUGGAGAGAGCGGAGCAGUAUUAUCAUCAGUUAUCAAAAACACCGUUAUCGGUUUCAAGAUUGCUCUGGACUAAGGUAUAUUAUACCCACAUGUCAGGGAUGGAUAGACUUUGAGCUCUAAAGGGCAUGGGUCUUAGCAGAUAAUCGCAUAUUGCAAGACAAAGAAGAGAGCCUAGGAUCUUCCGGAUAUUUCUUCUGAAGACAGAAACUCAUACCAGUUUGGAGCAACUUGA